GCUCCAUCCCUGGAAGUGUCCAAGGCCAGGUCGGAUGGGGCUUGGAGCAACCUGGGAUAGUGGAAGGUGUCCCAGCCCAUGGAAUGAGGUGAUCUUUAAGGUCCCUUUCAAUCCAAACCAUCCUGUGAUUCCAUUAUUCUAUGAUCUUUUCCAGGUGCCAGAGGAGCAGUGGGAUCAGGACAGCCUGGCAGAGAAGGGUGGAGACCUCUCUUGCAGCAGCCACCCUUUUGGGAGACCCCUUCAUGUGAGACAUCAUUUAACAGUCACAACUCCUCACACUUCCCAUCUCCAGGGCUGGAAUGUAGGACGAGGAGGCUAAAACAGGCUGAAGCUCUCGGAUCUCACCCCUGCAGCCUUCCAGGCCAAGUUCCAGGUCUUCCCUCCCUCCUUGGACUUCCUUCCGUGCCUGGUGCUCAUCUCCAGGGGCUGCAAUUCCAACUGUUUAUGGGUAAGAUCAGCUCUUGCCAGGUGAGCCCAAAGCCCAGCCCAGCGCGGUGGCACCUGGGUGAGAUCAGUGACAGCAAACAGCAGCUCCCAUGUGAACUUUUGAAUGUUGGGACUGUCAGAGCCUCAUCUUUCAGGGUUAUUUUAUUUGCAGGUGUUUCCCUGAGACUCCUCUGCCGUCAGAGUUUGGUGUUCCAUCUUGGGCAGCUUGACUUCCCAGAGCAUGAGCCUGUUCCCAACCAGCUUCUGCAGAGCCCAAACUUCCCUGUGUUCAAUUUCUUGUUAUUGCAUUUAGUCUCUGGUGACUCCCGAGCUGACAGCUGACGAUCUGGAAUGUUAAUCCUGGAUAAUGUGACAUGGAACAUUUCCGCGGCUCCUCGGCACAGCUUUCCCUCCUCAUGCUCCCUUUGAGUUUGGAUUUGUUUGUUUUCCAAGGCAAACUCUGGAUCUGGCUCCCAUCAACAGCACCCUUUUGACAGAUCCC
ensembl:lncRNA